GGGAAUGUGGCUCAUUGGUAGAGUGCUUGCCUAGCAUGUAUGAAGCCCUGGGUUCAAUUCCUCAGUACCA
rnacentral:tRNA from 1 species